rnacentral:rRNA from 1 species
UACGUAGGGUGCGAGCGUUAAUCGGAAUUACUGGGCGUAAAGCGUGCGCAGGCGGUUUUGUAAGCCAGAUGUGAAAUCCCCGGGCUUAACCUGGGAAUGGCAUUUGGGACUGCAAAGCUUGAGUGUGGCAGAGGGGACUGGAAUUCCUGGUGUAGCAGUGGAAAUGCGUAGAGAUCAGGAGGAAUACCGAUGGCGAAGGCAGGUCCCUGGGCUGACACUGACGCUCAGGCACGAAAGCGUGGGGAGCAAACAGG